AACAUCUCUUCUUGUUGUGUAAUUUGAAGUAUGGCCUGCCCACUGAUAAUUUGAAGGGCCGCGGUAUUUUGACCGUGCAAAGGUAGCAUAAUCAUUAGUUCUUUAAUUGUGAGCUGGUAUGAAUGGUUUGACGAGGUGCCAUCUGUCUUUAUUUUUAAUUUUGGUUGAAUUUGGUGUUUGAGUAAAAAUACUCAUAUUUUAUUAUGGGACGAGAAGACCCUAUAGAGUUUUAUAUGAUUUUCCUCUUUUUUGUUUGUUUAUGGUUUUGGGGGUAUUAAUAUUUUGUUGGGGUGAUGAGAGGGUAAAUUUAACCACUCUUUUUUUUGUUUCACUUGUUUGUGUACAUUU
rnacentral:rRNA from 1 species